rnacentral:lncRNA from 1 species
GGGAAAUGUGGCCCAACUUAUGGUCCAGCUUUAACCAGUGACUCUACUGUGCCUGGAGGGCUUGCUAAGAAGGAUCAUGAGACUGCUUCUGAUGCUAAUGGGAAAACGUCCUUUGAUCCUGAGUUAAGUGGGCUUCAUGUUGGAAUGGAUUAAUGUGGCAGGAAUGAACAUGUUCUUUUUUUUUUUUUUUUUUUUUUUUUUUUUUUUUUGAGACGGAGUCUCGCUCUGUCACCCAGGCUAUUUGCCUCUCCAGAUGUGCUCUGUUUUCACUCUGCCGUGUGCCUGACCUCUACCAUCUACACCAGGGGAUUUCCUUGCCCUCCAGCUUCCAGUUGGGUUUGGCCAAUGGGAAACCCAUCAGUUCUACGGAAUCUUGGUGUGGAAGCCUUCUUCUCUUGGGGUGUGUGCCUUUUGGGAUGAGGCUUUGGGAUCUCUUCCCUUACUGAUCUCCUUUUAGGUGGGUGAAGUACUUUUUCCUCAGAUCUCAUAAAAUCCAGUGCUGAUGAGUGACAUUAAUUUCAAUGAGAGUAUACUAUGAAUAUUUCAAUUUGCUUCUCCU